rnacentral:rRNA from 1 species
AUCAGCUAGUUGGUAGGGUAAUGGCCUACCAAGGCGACGACGGGUAGCUGGUCUGAGAGGAUGAUCAGCCACACUGGCACUGGAACACUGGCCAGACUCCUACGGGAGGCAGCAGUGAGGAAUUUUGCGCAAUGGGGGCAACCCUGACGCAGCAACGCCGCGUGCCUGAAGAAGGUCUUCGGAUCGUAAACGGCUAACUCCGUGCCAGCAGCCGCGGUAAUACGGAGGGUGCGAGCGUGUUCGGAAUCAUAGGGCGUAAAGGGCGUGCAUUCGGUUGGGUAAGUCUGAUGUGAAAGCCCGUGGCUCAACCCCGGAAGUGCAUUGGAAACUGUCCGACUUGAGUACCGGACAGGAUGGGGGAAUUCCCGGUGUAGAGGUGAAAUUCGUAGAGAUCGGGAGGAAUACCAGUGGCGAAGGCGCCCAUCUGGACGGAUACUGUCGCUCCCACGCGAAAGCGUGGGGAGCAAACAGGAUUAGAUACCCUGGUAGUCCACGCUGUAAACGAUGAGCACGGUGUAGCGGGUAUUGACCCCUGCUGUGCCCCAGCUAACCGGCAUUAAGUGCUCCGCCUGGGGAUUACGGUCGCAAG